AUUGAACGCUGGCGGCAGGCCUAACACAUGCAAGUCGAACGAGUGGCGGACGGGUGAGUAAUGUCUGGGAAACUGCCUGAUGGAGGGGGAUAACUACUGGAAACGGUAGCUAAUACCGCAUACCAUCAGAUGUGCCCAGAUGGGAUUAGCUAGUUGGUGGGGUAACGGCUCACAAAGGCGACGAUCCCUAGCUGGUGUGAGAGGUUGACCGUCCACACUGGAACUGAGACAUGGGCCAGACUCGAACGAGAGGCAGCAGGGGGGAAUAGUGCACAAUGGGCGCAAGCCUGAUGCAGCCGUGCCGCGUGUAUGAAGAAGGCAUUCGGGUUGUAAAGUACUUGCAGCGGGGAGGCGUUACCCGCAGAAGAAGCACCGGCUAACUCCGUGCCAGCAGCCGCGGUGAUUC
rnacentral:rRNA from 1 species